AAUUUAAUAAUAAAUAUUUCUUUUAAAAUUAUUUCCAGAAAUCCAAAUUCCAUCUAAAUCAGUUCCAUGGGUGUUAAUUUAAGUGUUGUGAUAAGUUUUGGAAAAUGAAUGAAAGAAGAAUCGGUUAAUGAAAGUCUUUUGGAGAACAUAACCUCAAACUGGUAAGCUUGCGAUGACUACAUUUAAACUGAACGUUGAAGAAGAAAAACGAAAUGUAAAAAAGAAAUCGAAAGUUAGAGGGCGGGAUUUCAAGUUAAAACCUACAGCGAUAGUCGAAAUAGGUUUUUUAAGUGGAAAACUCUGUAGAUGUUUUUAAAAUCUACUUUCCCUUUAAGAGUUUUCGAUAAACAAACUACAUCAACUUACAAGAAUUCCUCGGCUAUAAUGUCAUUUGGGAGUACUCUCCGGGAUCUGGUUUGAAUUGAACGACGUCAUUACGGGAAUGUUUGUCAAUCGAAUAAUCCUACACGAGUCCAGGAUAAUGCCUGGAAUUGCGCAAUCGACACAUUGGAAUGGCUAACGGAGGAAUUAGUCCGGUUUGUCCGCGUUGAGUUUAUAAAUCUUCUAUGGUAAAGCAACGUUAGUUCUGGAUAUUUCUUACCCCUAAGGAAUGGUGGACCAUCGAAAUGAGAAUGAGUCGAAUUUCGAGUAAGUAAAUAUCGAUUUUUAAAAUGAUCAUAGAAUAAUCAAAUUGUAAUGGGAAUACUAGUAGAAAUCCGACCGGAAGAUGCAAUUAACAGUAACUCACGCGGAGUGUGACCCAAAAUGUUGCCUUGACGUGUAACCGAGAGGGUAGUUUGCGGUCACGGACAGUAAAUAUUACUUAGAAAUUACUCGGUAUUACCCGGAAUCGCAUAACUACUACGGCCUAAUUGCCGCAAUUAAUCGUGAACGAGCCUCCGGCUACGAAAUUUACAACCGAAACGAGAAAUUCUCGAAUCCUCGUCCCAAUUUCAAACGAAACAUUCUCAAAAAAACCAUUAAUAUAUUGCUUUUAUAAAGUUAUCUCGCCCGGAUAAAUUUAUAGCUCAAAUUCGAUUAUUGUAUAAAGCUCUAACGAACUUAUCUACUUUUAAAUUAGAUAAAUUAAUGGAUUAACCGAAUACACUUAAAACUAAAUACGACUUUAAUCCGAUUUCGCUUAUUUUUAUAGCCACUUUAAUCAAUAGGACGUUGACUGUUAAACAUUAAGCAUUUUUUUCCCUCCAUGAGGAUUUCAUGGAGGGUCAAAGUUCGUUUGAUCGAACGCUUCAUUAACGUAGGAUCAAGUUCGGGCGUUUAAUUGCGUCUCUUGGGGGUUGAACCCGGGGCUGCCCAAAACCACCGGUCUCUUGUAAUAGAAUUUGCUCGUCCCUGACUACAUAUGGAACUAAAACCGAACCGUUCGAUAAGCAGUAUAUGUAUUCGAUUUAGACUUUAAUUAUGAUGCUUAAAAUGCAUCAAGAGAAAUUAUUUCGGUUUCAAAAUCUUAAUAAAAUUGGAUUAUAAAAGUAA